UUGAUCCUGGCUCACGAUGAACGCUGGCUGUGUGCCUAAUACAUGCCUGUCGAGCGGAAGUAGCAAUACUUUAGACGGCGAAUGGCGUGAGUAACACGUGCUUAAUCUACCUCUUAGAUUGGAAUACCUAAUGGAAACAUUGGUUAAUGCCGGAUACGCAUGGAGUCGCAUGACUCCGUUGUGAAAGGGGCCUUUAAAGCUCCACUAAGAGAUGAGGGUGCGGAACAUUAGCUAGUUGGUGAGGUAACGGCCCACCAAGGCUAUGAUGUUUAGCCGGGUCGAGAGACUGAACGGCCACAUUGGGACUGAGAUACCGCCCAAACUCCUACGGGAGGCAGCAGUAGGGAAUAUUCCACAAUGAGCGAAAGCUUGAUGGAGCGACACAGCGUGCACGAUGAAGGUCUUAUGGAUUGUAAAGUGCUGUUGCAAGGGAAGAAAAAGUAGUUGAGGAAAUGCUUCUACAUUGACGGUACCUUGUUAGAAAGCGAUGGCUAACUAUGUGCCAGCAGCCGCGGUAAUACAUAGGUCGCAAGUGUUAUCCGGAAUUAUUGGGCGUAAAGCGUUCGUAGGCUGUUUAUUAAGUCUGGAGUCAAAUCCCAGGGCUCAACCCCUGGCUCGCUUUGGAUACUGGUAAACUAGAGUUGGAUAGAAGGUUAGGCGGAAUUCCAUGUGAAGCGGGUGAAAUGCGUAGAUAUAUGGAAGAACACCAUAGGCCGAAGGCAGCCUUACUGGGUUUAAUCUGACGCUGAGGAACGAAAGCGUGGGGAGCAAACAGGAUUAGAUACCCUGGUAGUCCACGCCGUAAACGAUGAUCAUUAGUCGGCAGAGAACUGUUGACGCAGCUAACGCAUUAAAUGAUCCGCCUGAGUAGUAUGCUCGCAAGAGUAAAACUUAAAGGAAUUGACGGGGACCCGCACAAGCGGUGGAGCAUGUGGUUUAAUUUGAAGAUACGCGGAGAACCUUACCCACUCUUGACAUCCUUCGCAAAGCUAUAGAGAUAUAGUGGAGGUUAACGGAGUGACAGAUGGUGCAUGGUUGUCGUCAGCUCGUGUCGUGAGAUGUUUGGUCAAGUCCUGCAACGAGCGCAACCCCUAUCUUUAGUUACUAACGAGUCAUGUCGAGGACUCUAGAGAUACUGCCUGGGUAUCUGGGAGGAAGGUGGGGAUGAGGUCAAAUCAUCAUGCCUCUUACGAGUGGGGCAACACACGUGCUACAAUGGUCGGUACAAAGAGAAGCAAUAUGGUGACAUGGAGCAAAUCUCAAAAAGCCGAUCUCAGUUCGGAUUGAAGUCUGCAAUUCGACUUCAUGAAGUCGGAAUCGCUAGUAAUCGCAGAUCAGCUAUGCUGCGGUGAAUACGUUCUCGGGUCUUGUACACACCGCCCGUCACACCAUGGGAGCUGGUAAUACCC
rnacentral:rRNA from 1 species